rnacentral:rRNA from 1 species
GGAGUUUGGUCCGUGUCUCAGUACCAAUGUGGGGGACCUUCCUCUCAGAACCCCUACUGAUCGUUGCCUCGGUGGGCCGUUACCCCGCCGACAAGCUAAUCAGACGCAUCCCCAUCCCUUAGCGAUAAAUCUUUGGUAUUCGUCAGAUGUCCUCAAAAUACAACAUAGAGUAUUAAUCCGACUUUCGCCGGGCUAUCCUCUACUAAGGGGAAGGUUGGAUACGCGUUACUCACCCGUGCGCCGGUCGCCAUCAAAGUUUGCAAGCAAACUUCAUGCUGCCCCUCGACUUGCAUGUGUUAAGCCUGUAGCUAGCGUUCAUC